rnacentral:rRNA from 1 species
AUUGAACGCUGGCGGCAGGACUACCACAUGCAAGUCGAGCGGAGCGGCGGACGGGUGAGUAAUGCCUAGGAAUCUGCCUGGUAGUGGGGGAUAACGUCCGGAAACGGGCGCUAAUACCGCAUACUAUCAGAUGAGCCUAGGUCGGAUUAGCAAGUUGGUGGGGUAAAGGCCUACCAAGGCGACGAGCCGUACCUGGUCGGAGAGGAUGAUCAGUCAACGUUGAACUGAGACACGGUCCAGACUCCUACGGGAGGCAGCAGUGGGGAAUAUUGGACAAUGGGCGAAGGCCUGAUCCAGCCAUGCCGCGUGUGUGAAGAAGGUCUUCGGAUUGUAAAGCACUUUAAGUUGGGAGGCGUUACCAACAGAAGAAGCACCGGCUAACUUCGUGCCAGCAGCCGCGGUAAUAC